AAGCAUUAAGGGAAGUGUCAUGUUACUCUUAUAUAGAAGAUGUUAACUCAAUAAUGGAAAAUCAGCAAGCUAGAAGAUGUUAACUCAAUAAUGGAAAAUCAGCAAGCAACUCGGGGUGCUGUGCCUCAAGCUUCAUUAAUGGGGCCAAAAGUAGAAAGUCUGCACCUAACUAACAAUAUAGAAAGAGGUGAUUUGGAGUUGAAAAGCAACAAGGCAUAUACUCACUCAAUUAAGUACUUAGUGCACCCAUCCCAUAAUCUAUACAGUAUGAUUUCGUUCCGGAUAUCCGAACUACCUUAACGGAGACCCGAGCCUAACACCUUCAUUAUUGCCUUCUGCAACAACAUAAAUGGCGCGGUCUACUUCAUAAGCCCGAGAAGGAUCCGUUCAAUACAAUAGUCAGAGCGCAAAGUGUACCAAAGAAUCAGCAAUUUCCGUUCUCGUCGACUCUCAAUCUGGAUCCGGGUUUACAUACAGCCUUUCAAGAGUGGUGUAUGGUAAGACCUCUGGCUUUCUUUCACUGUUGCAUGAUCCUGUAGACUGUCUCCGCGUCUUUGAUGGCCCUGCCCUUUUCGUGAAAAUAUGAAAGGGGUGAGUAAAGUAAGCAGUCAGCUGUUAGAGUUAGGCUAGGUAGAGCAGAGCCAGCAGUUACAGUUAUAGGUAGAGCAGCAUCAGAGGAGCGCCCCUGUUCCUUGAGACUUCCCUCAGACAGGAGUACCGAACAAGCAACUACGAAGGGAUUGAUUAGUUCCACUAAGGGUGCCUCCAUCUCAUCUAACUCUUUCUCAUAGAACUCUGGCUGCUGAACUCACUACUACAGUUACUUGCCUCUCCUUGCCUUUCUUUAUAGUAGUCUUUCUUUUGAGUAGUUUCAUUGCCUAUUUCCACGCCACGCCCCUCAUAUGUGAAUUAUACUUCUAAGGAAACUCAGUAAGGCAAUUCAGUUAUAAGUAAUUAUUAGAAGCUAUAAGUAAGGCAAUAAAGGUAUCCAAUCCGCCUCUACUUGAUUGAUUUCUUGCCAUGUAGAUAAGUCUAUAACUAGUCACUUUAUCCCCUUACUUGUCUAUAACUAGUCACUUUAUCCCCUUACUAUAAGUCAUUAUAUAAGAGAGUUUCAGUAGAUAUGGAAGCAGUUAGGUCAGAAGGAGAGGCCAGGCCAAUAGUGGAUGACACCGAUUGCAUUGCCAGGGUGAGCAGAACACUACACUUGUUCAUAACGAAGUAACAAACAGGGGAUGGGAUGGGUUCACUCAAAGGGUUCUUUAUUACUACAAUUGUUGCUUGGCCCCUUAACAUCAAGUAAGCCUUUCACUCUAGGUAGUAGGAAUCUCUUGGGGGGCGAGUAACGUCUAGGAGUAAACGAUGAGUUCUUUCCUCUUUACCUAAACUCCGAUACAUCUAGUUUCACCGAAGAGUUGUUGCAAGAAGAAUCAUCUAGUCUAGUUAAACUGUUUCUCGGGGGCUCUAUUAAGUAUAUAGUAGAAUAGUCCAAUUAAGUAUAUAGUAGAAUAGUAAGAAGCAGACAAGUAACUACUAAACAAGCCAAGCUUAGUAUACUGUUGCGCGUUAGUCUAGUGGUGUUCAUGGCGUUAGUAUGAGUUCCUUAUUUCAGCUAACGCUUACUUUCCGCUUUCCUGGGUAGGUGCCUGUGCCUCAAUCCAAUUCCGGUUCUUUCAGAGAUAGAGUGCUUCUUUUUCUUUCGCCGUAGUUACUUGUAUGUCCGCUUGUUGGCUUGGCUCUGAGCAUUCCGCUUCUGUUCCAACCCCUUUUCCUUACUAUACAACUGAUAUGGCUUCCUCACCUGCAUCUAAUCCUACUGUUGAUCUUAAUCCAGCUUUUUUCAAGCAUAUGAUCCUUCUUCCCUUACUGGUUCAUAAGAUCUUCUUGCAGUCUUUUCAUUUCUGGAAUCUAUCGCAGUCAACUCGUAUACUUCUUACUGCCCGUAGGUAUAGCCGGUAUAGAAUUAAGUAGAUAACACUUAACGCCAAGUUACAGGAGUAGUGAGUAAAUCCCCUUUCUUGUAUUUCUGCCCACUGCAGCAUUCAUGUGUUAGGGUCCACCUUUUCCAUAAGCUUCCUCUAACCCACUACUUUCUGAUUCCUCGACUUCCACUUAGGCUCUGUGAACUCAGGCAACUAGAACAAUGGCUACAAUAUCUCUCCUCCGGCUCCACAAACACAUAGCAAGUAGUGAGUGACUUGUCCAUUAGUCGUAGAUUUUCUCUCUUUCCCUUCCUUACUCUCCCUUUGCAGCUUACUUUCGCCCGAGAGACUCUCUUCUUUGAAUGGAAUCUUUCGUUUCUUUUACACUUGGUAUAGAACCCAUGUAAAGAUACUGAACUAGUUUCGUUUUCGCGAUAGUGAGUUUCAAGUCCUGUUUGAAAGUCAACGAUAUCAGAUCUGUUUUCUCAUGCUACAGGCGCAAGAAAUAUGAUAAGUUGGUCAGCUGUCCUAAGUGAUAGAGUAGAAUCCCUAGUGAAACCCUUACGUCUACUCUUAUUGCCAGCUUUCCAGUACUUUAUCGAGUGGCUUCUUCGGGAGCUCACACUGCCGAAGAUCUUUCUUUAGAUCCCAAUCCAGCUUCAGCUUCAGAUAUCAUAGACUAUAAAGGUAAAGCGCCAACAACAAGAACGGAUUCCACUGAUUGUCUUGCCCAAACUCCUGCCGCUUCAACUGUGUUCGUUGAUUCUGACUUUCAUUAUAGAUAUAGAGUUGUAAAGAACCAGGUUCACCCGUAUGGAGCAGAGCCUCUUUGUCUAGUCCCACUUAGAGCGACAGCUGCAGUCGUAAGAAAGCAACAAGGAGCUUUACUACCUUUUCAAUUGUAGGUGGGAGGUCUUUUAAAGACGGUUAAAGAGAGUUCUUGUUCACGUAAGUGAGAGCACUGCCCGAUACUGCUUGCUCGGUCCUCUAACUAAAUCAAUGGUAUAUAAAUAGAUGCGCGGAACUUACUAAAUUCCCUUAGAGUCUGGUCUUCACUAGAUAGUGGCAACCCUCGUUCCUUUGUCCAAAGUCAAGAUAGGGAUCGUCACUAGGCUCCUUUGCAGAAUUCAGGCCUAGCCAUUAACAGAGAAGCUAUGGGAACAAUGGAAUCCGUGACUGUAAAACACAGGAAUUGUUAGAACGGCCAAGAACUACUAAACGCCAGACAAGCACCCCUUUACUUUAAUGCACAGCUCAUUCUGCACUUUUAGUAGAGUAUCCUUUCCUCACACUCGAACGUAACUUGCAGGCCCUAUACUAGAAUUUCCUAGACUCAACUCUCACUCGAAUAGGAACAGUAACAGUAGUCGGAGUGGGAUUAGCUACACUGCCGCGCACGAACAACUAUUCGGAGCUUACACUUUUUCCGUCAUGGCGGUUGCGAGCGGAAGAGGUUGGUUAAGAGCCCUUGGUUAGCUGGACUGGAUUAGUUACCCUUAUAGAAGAAGGUAGAUAAUCAUUAGCGGUAUCUUCUCUGUCAAACUUCAGAAUUGAGUAGUCUCAUUAGCUGUAGUAGUAUAAUUAUAGGUUGUCGUUUAAUUAGCAGUUUUCGUUUCAUUUCAUUAAGUAUUCCGUUUUCCACCUUAGAACUAGUAAUUGCCUGUUUCUCUGCAGAGUAGCAAUAAGUAAACUCAUACGUAUUGAAUUGUCCCCCUCUCCUACCCGGGAUAACUAGUAGCUUGCUCGAUUCUCUCAUUUCACGCUUUCAUUCCCUUAUUACUGACUAAGUGCGAUCCUCUUUCUUGUUUUAGGUACGAGGCCUUUGUAGCACUAGUGGAUUUCUUAUCAAUGGAAGGAACGAUACAGAGAAGAAAACCCAGGAAGGACGUACUUAGUUACAGGAAAGGCGGGCUUAUCAAGCAUAGUCUCAAUGCUACUAGUUAGUAGUUACAUUCUGUAGUAAGUAAUUAGAUUCUUGUUCGCAGUGGUGCAAUUACAGUUGUUGCCCCAAAGUAUCAGUCUCAUAGGUUGUAGUCGCAUCCUUAUCCUUGUUGUUAGUAGUUGUAGUCUUAAGUAGCUAUAUAAGAAGCGGGCAAUUGAAACAGAGACCCCAGCUACAGAGCAUCAAUCUGAGUACCAAUACCCAGCAUCAGCCUUACUAGCUACCCCAUCAACCAAUACUAGCUACCACCGGUUUCAUUCUCAAACUACUGAGGGAAAUUCUGUAAUAAAAGUGUCUAGCGCCCCACCCAAGGGUUGGAGUCUUAGAGUUAGUAGCUGCAUUCUAAGUGGUACUGAUUUGGUUCUUGGAUUCAUUGGUAUCAGUCUCAGUGGUACUUGCUUGGCCCUGUCACUUAUGGGUUGAAGCCUGCUCGGGGUUAGUUGCAUUCUGAGUACUAUAUGAGGAGUUCAGGUCAUAGGUCUAAUUCUUAUCUUAGUCAUACCGGAUUUAUGGUCAUAGAUAGGGAAUAGGGAAGAUGCGGCUUUCUGGUCAUAGGUCUAAUUCUUAUCUUAGUCAUACCGGACUUCUGGUCAUAGGCAUUUAAUAGGUCAUAUGCGGCUUUCUGGUCAUAUCCCUUACUCAGUCUAUCAAUCGGCUUUCUGGUCAUAGGUGUUAAUAUAGGUAUACCUCGGCUUUCAAGUCAUAGGGAAGGUAGGACUUCUGGUCAUAGGUCUAAUUCUCUGACUCACUUGUUUCAGGCUUACACUCGCUUGUUUCAAUCUAAGUAGCCCCAGCACCAGCCUUAGAUGCACAGGUGAAAGUCCCAGUGGUACAGGUUUCAGCCUAUCACUCCUUAGCCUCAUUCUCGGUGGUAUUGGUUGAAGCCUCUAACUGCCCAACAUCAGCCUUGGUAGCAGUGAGGGGAGCCUUACACCGACUAGCUCCACUCUCAUACUGACUGGUUGAAGCCUGUUUCUCACUUGUUUCGGUCCGGUAGUUAGGUGUUUCAGGCUUGUUGUGCACUCUUUCAUUCUAGCUACCCUUGCUUUAAGUCUGGGCUUCCGAGACCCUGUAUCAGGCUUUGACUCACUAGUUUCGUUCUUGGACUUAUGGGUUUGAGUCUGAGUCUAUUUAGUUGGAUUCUGUAACCCUAGGAGUCGUUGCUUGGCCCUCUUGCUUAGCUCUCCAGGUAGCGAAGGCAGUUACUGAUUCCAGUUUCUCGUAAGGGCAGGCUCAUGGCGAUAGGUUAUUCUAGUUGGAGUCUAUAUAAGCUCUAGGUCUAAGUAUACUGAAUGAGUCUGGUAAAGUUCCUGUGGCUAGCGGGGAAGCAGUUUACUAUAUUAAUAAGGUCUAGUGUAAAACAAUACUCUAUUAAUAAGGUCUAGUGGAAAACAAGGUGAAAGUAGAUUCCGUAAAAGCUAACAACCAUUUGAAAGCCCGGCCAAGCGGGCAAGCAACUCACUGUUACCUUGCAUUCAAUAGCUGCUCCUUCUGUCCUCACUGUGUCCCUUUAACGUGCACGUGGAUAUCUAUAACUAUGGAUCGGACUGGAAGCUGGCUUAAUUCCUAUCGCAAGAGCGAGUCAGGAUCCAAGGCAAGGUGACGAAGGUAAUAGGGAAAGUGCGUCGACCGCGCCAUCUAGCGAGAUCAAAGGACUUAUCUUCUUUUUUCCCAUGGUCAACAAUCGGCUUCACUCGUUGAUUGCCACAGAUAAGCUUGGACUAUGCAUAUGGAAAACCUGAUGACAUAGAGACGUGGAAUACCUUCCAAAUCCAAGACAAGAGCCUUACUUCCUUUAGUUCAAACAAGGGAUGCAAGCAAAGCAAGGUGCUAAGAGCUCCCUCGCACUCGAUAAGAAGAAUGGUAUAUAGCCUUUCCAACCAAUUACCGUGUGUUGUGACAUCAAUACCAUAAGCCCUUAUUUUUGGUUCAGAAGUUCCUUUACAUACUAGGAAUCGCGUCUCUAAAGUUAGAUGAGAAGGAUUAGAUAUUUGGCAUUGCCUUCCCUUACUUACUAAUGGUAAAUCAAUCAGUCAAACCUUUUCUUAUUCACGUAGCGCGCCUUUCUAGUUGCCUAUUCUUUGUGCGUGGGUGGGGAUAUCUUCUACUAUUGAUUAACUUGCCCUCUCGUAAAUAAGGGGGAAGGAAACUAGCCAUACUGCCGAAAAGAAGUCCCUCCCGAACAGCCGGAUUCGGAUUAGUUCAAAUCUAACUAGCUAGAUUCUCUUGCUCUAGGCCUAUUCUUUGACUUUUCCUAUUCCCUGCUCUACUUAAUGUGCGAGGAGGAAUAGAGAUCGACAAGCAAGAGUAAGGCCUCUUUCUUUCCUUAUUAGCUAAUAGUGCCUAACUUUCCUUCGGGCAUCUUUAUCAGACAAGAAAUAAGAUCAAAUAGAAUCCGAUUUUGGACAUUAAAGAGUCGUAAAGCAUCGAAGCAAAUAGCUCUUAAAAGGAUACCUAUCGAAUAGGCUUUGGCACGUCGAGGAAGAGAAUAAGCUCUUUGAUACUGCGCUAGCAGAGUAAAGGGACGGAUAGACAGCUUACUUAACCUUGAUGAAAUGAGUCGAGGGGGCUGACUCAAGCUAGUGAAAAAUGCCUCUUACGAAAGCCUUCUUUCUAUGCCUGUGCCCCAAAAUUGGGCUAGGUAAGAAAAAGGGUAAACACUAGUAGCUGCGAGCCUAAGAUCAAAGCAAGUUCCAUCGUGCCGAUUACCUUGGCUUCUGUAUCAUGAUACAUAGAAGAAGCACUCUUGACUCUUGUCGCGAGUCGACCGUUCAGAGCUUAGAACAAAAGAAAGAAGAUAACCCUUCUGUCGGCUUAUUCAAACCGAUUAUUGGAAAUAAGAGCAACCCACUAAAAUCAGGUAUUCUUUAGAUAAUAUAAUGAACUAUUCCCUUAUUAACUUGCUAACUACCUAUAACGCGAAUAUAAGGAAGUCAGCUGCUUCGAUUCCCUCUCUUGCAAGUGUUCCAGUCCUAAACAUAUACAUAAUAGCUAAUUAUUUCCUACAGUUAAAGAUUCUAACAACCUGCUAUAGACUGUUUUGAUCUUAUAAAGAACGGAGCGGAGAGGAAAGAGAGAGAGAUCGCUAUUAUUCACUGGUUAUAGCUUUACCUACGGAAAGUUGAGCUACGAAGAUCCGCUGGUCGUAGAAGAGGAAACCCUCCAAAGUGAGGCCGAGGACGACAACUAAAAGGACCUGCCAUUGAAAGCAAUUGAAAGCUGCUGCAAGCUAAAGCAACUCCCACUUCUUCAUAGUCCAUUCUACCCGUAUGGAUCUGGAUCGGUAUCAAUUCCAAAGGAUGUCCUAACUUGUCGCUGCCAGUAAUUUCAUAAUGUAAGUGCGCCUAUACGUAAGCCGGAUCCCAGGCUCCAGGGCCCAUCUCUGUCAUAUUGGCAAGCCAAAGAAGAUAGAAAGCCUGCUUCACCUUUACUUCCUUCCGUACCGGAUUCAGAGUCUGCUCUAAAAGAAGCCAGUGAGUCGAUGUCUUAUGGAGUUCAAUCAGUAUCGGGUCAUUCAAAGGUUUCAGCUCUGGUUCCAAUUGUAUCUGUGGUAUAUCUCUUCUCUCUUGUUCCCUUUCCGGGGAUAAGAGAUCCUGUUCUUUCCCUUUCCUUGCUACUAUCCGAACUUUACUACUAGUUUCAGAAGAUAGUCAACCAGUUUUUCAGGCAAGGAGCGCUUCCUCUAUAGAAUAUGGCAGAUGUCCGAACGGAUUUCCCCAAUAGCGGAGCAGCUAAAGGAAGUGCAUUCAUUCUUUUCCAAGUGUGGGGCAGGAGUAGGUUUCAUCAAUCUGAAUAGACAUAGAAUUCCCAAUAUGGUCUUUGGCUGUUUUAUCAUCUCUAGAAUCAGCAGUUCUCGAAUAAGCUGUGGGACAAAGCAAAUGCCUUUUUGUUCACAGCAGACUUAGCAGACGAUUAUCGGCAGUAUGGUCAGGCUUUGAUUACAGGAUUUCCGGAUUGACCGCUUCUUCCCUUCCAGUUGAUUGGGAAUAAAGGCUGCUUGGAUCUUUGCACGAAUAAACGGAGAGUCAAAGGAACUCGCCCCUGUGUGAUAGAAUUGUUUUAAGGAAUGGAAUCAGAAGCAUUGAAUGCGGCUAGGCUAGGGCACCUUAUUUGAUGAAUAAAGGUAGGGUAGUUCAGUUGUCAACAAGGGAAUAGGUAUGCGGUACAAUAAGUAAGGCUCGGGCUUCUGCUUUUUCUUCUUAUUAAUAGGUGUGUAGGAUUCCCUUUUUCUUGUUUGAAUUCCCAGUUGUUAGUUUAAGUAUUGGUAGCAGUUAUAUAGGCUUGUUAUCAUUAUGAAUCUGAUACUACUAAGUGAAACCCGUGUAACGAGGUGAGGUGGUCUUUCUAGUGUUUAUUUCGUCCCUUACGCCUUAGUCCGAUUCUUUGACUAAAAAGUAGACUUCUUGGCAGGGAUGUACUAACCUUAGAGUUGAUAUACGCAUAUACCUGCAGUUCGAAUACUUAUCUUAUGAAAUUCCCCUGAGUUAGCUUAUGAACCACACCUCCACUUCAAUAACAAUAACACAUAGAAUCAAGAAUGAACUCAACGUUCAAGUAGUCGAAGUCACUAACAAACAAGCAAGACUAAAACAAGUAAAGGCAGGCUCAUAUCAUAGGCAGUAAAGCCAGGGUUGGUAUAGUUUGGUAGUUCGGAGGAGCAGACUAAUGGUAAUAGGCAAUAAGGCUGGGGGAACUAAGGAGUAGAGUUUGGAAAGUGAAGACAGGGUUUAGAGCAAGUAGUUUCAGAGUCAAAGGAAGGAAAGACAGACUUAGAAUUGAUUCGGGGAUUCCAUUUAUCGCUUAUAUUAUGAGAAUGAGAAUUAGGUUAGGCGCGUACUUUAACUAACCAAAGGCAGUGUUAAAACAUGUACAGUAAGGGCUGUUUAGGUGCCAGUAAAGUCAGAAUAAGAUGAGUAACUACCAGAUUUAGGACGAGGGGACAGUCAAGCAGGAAUACAAGAAAGUAAUGUAAGGCUAUUAGACACCAUUGAGUUUGAAAGCAAAGGUAGUUAGGGCUUAUAGCUAUAAGUUAUAUUCUAUCAGGUAGUGGUUGAUUCCCAGUUCAUGAGGUAAGUCUCGUAUUAGCGGUGAUUUCAUUCUCGUAGGUAGCAUCCCACUUUUGAGGUUUCUUCUCUUUAUUGAGUAUUGAUAUCAUUAAUAGGGUAGCUCAAUGUAAUCGACCCUUGUUUCCCUUUUCAAUCCUGCUCGGCAGUAGUCAAUUCCUCGUUAUGAGGUUGGUUGCCAGUUAGCCGCUAUAGUCUUAUCGGUACAGGUUCAAUUACUUAUUCUGGGUUGGGUUUAUUGGAAGCACUAGUUCAUUUAUUCGAUAUAGUAGUAUAAUUCCCAUAUAGGUGGGGACCGGUCUAAUCUAAUGGGGUAGUUCUAGUGCUUGAGAGCAAGGAAAGUCGGACUAAGGUCUCCAAAGGCAAGAGCAAGGCUUGAACAUAGGCAUAGAUAAUAAGGCUUGGCUACUACCUGCUGGCUUAGCACCUAUAGGCAUUGAGCUCAGUGAUAUAGGUUUUCGAAAAAAGUAACCGGUUGAAAGCAAGCAAUAGGAAACUAGUAGUGACUUGCCUGCUUGGCGAAUCAAACUCAUAAGCAAAAGAAGAAAAUAGGACCCCAGUUGAUAAGAAUUCCAUUCAUAAGUAGCCGACCCGGGCCCAGCAGUAAAAGAAAUUCACACCAGCAGCCAAGGCUUUCAGCACCUUACUUGAAAACUUCUACUCUUUUCUGUUAGUCUUAUUUUACUGCCUUAUAGGUUAUAACUUGUAGCGCAUUCUAGUACGCUUAUCGGGAGUAGCCCCGGUAAGUCCAUGUAGUAACUAUUAGAAUCAAAACCAGAGAUGUGGAAUCAAAUAAGUAAGUCAAAGGCAGGUAAGGAUACCCGAGCUAUGUACUCCCUGGAAUGUAGAGUAGUGGUAUGACACUUAAAGGAAUGCGAACUCAAAAGUGAUAUUUGCACUAAGAGGGGGCAACUCAUAGGCUUGCUCAGAAGACUCAGAAGGGAGGUGAUAUGAUCUAGGGCCCAUCAUAAUAGACUAACAGGGCAGUACACAACAAUGAAACCACUUACUUAUAGAUAGAAUCGAACCUUCCCCAGGCCCACAAGAGGCAAACCCUUACCCGGACCAUACAAUAAUGAAAGUGACAAAGUAGGGAUCCAACCACUGCUAGCAAUAAUGCAACUAGUAAUAUCAGAGGCUUCAGCAAUAACCACACAGUAAUAAAGGUCUGGCACUACUUACCUCAAUUCUGUAAUUAACCCUAGCGCAUCUAGUAUAAUAGGGUAUCUGGCCUUUGAUUCUUUAAUGACGAGCUCUAGUUCUAAGAAGACCCUCUGUUUAUGCGUGUGUAAGUUAGUGGACUGCGCGUCUAAUCCAACGCCAAUUAUGAGUAUCAGAGCCAAAUCCAGUAGAAGUCGUCUUAGCCCUAAGGUCCUAUUCCUUAUUGACUUUCUUGCUUGUUAUUCUUUGAUUGGUGUUAUUCAGCAGUUCCAUUCUUUCCAUAGUGGGCGGAUUCCCAGCUAGCGGUUAAGUUUUCUCGGUAGUAUUGAGAUUAACUUGGCAUUGCAUAAGUCUUUAUUCCGUGCUCAACCCUUAUUAGCAGUAGGGCUGUUCUAAUAUAUCUUGCUUUACCUAUAAAGAGAUUAGUGCCAAAUUCACUAUAUACCAUAACUUACUUAGUCAUAUUUAGGUGAAGUAGUACCAGGUUGAGAUGAAGGAUAGUAGGAAUCAUAUUCAGUAGAAGGAUCCGUAUCAGUGUAGAGUAGUUAAGUGAGGAAUGCGGGCGUUGGGGAAUACAUAUUUGAGAUCAGUAGCCUAAGAGUGAAAGCUAGGAAGGACAGCUUCGGUUUCAGUAGUAACAGAGUGAGUGUCGAGGUUCCAGUAUUGUUGGCAUUGUUUUGAUCUAUGUUGCAGUAGCGCAUUCCUAGUUAGUGGGGUAAGUCCUAUUUCUUUAGUGGAUUCUUUCCAGUAAGUAGUUCGAAGCCGAUACUCACUACUCAUAUUCUGGAUUUCAGGAUUGAUUCUUGUAGCUUAUUCUGAUCCCCAGCUAUGAGUUAUAGCCUCGUUAGACAGUUAAUUAAAGAAUACAGGCCUUGUUGGCAGCAAAGAGCAAUACUUAUGACUUAGGAAGUAGGAGUGGGGGGAGGUUGUCAAUAAAGUCAUACUCCAAAUUAGGAUAGUAGGAAUCAUAGCCGGUAAGGUAGUAAAUAGAAUAGCAUAGGGCAUUGUAUGAUCCUGCACAUAUAGUAUAAGAAUGGAGUUGCCAUCAGUAUUAGUAUCAGCGGCACCAGUAUCAGAAGAAAACUCAGCAGUAACAGACCUAAGCCUUAUUAUGCUUGUCCAUUUUCAAGCCUUGCUCUCUGUAGCUCCCAACUAUGACUCUUACGAUCCCACCCUAGUGUCUUUAUUUACCUUAUCUUGGCCUGCGACUCCCGACCUCACAUCUGUAUUCGAGGGCCACUUACUUAUUGAAUUCUUAUGGUUGAGUCCCCAGUUUCUUAGGUUGGGUCUUUUGAUGGAACUACCUAUCCUUAGCACUAUACUUGGAAUUCUGUAUUUCCACUCUUAUUCCUCUACCGAUGGGUUUGAUCGCCUAUAUGCACUAUUGCGUUAAGGUAUAUGCUGCAGUAUUCUUGACUAUGGGUUAGAUUCUAAUAAUAGUUGUUUCAUACCGAAGUAAGGAAAGGCAGACUUCAAGUAGGGGGUGACACUACAGAACUCAACUCAACACUAGAGAAUGAACUAGUCACUGACAAGACCAACUAUGUGUUAUGCGGUAGUGGGUUCUUCAGUCAUAAUCAAGCGACUCCUAAGGAUCGGAACUUCUACUUUCACUGGUGCUUAUAGGGUUUCAACUCAACGCUGGGAAUUUCACUAGUGGCAAAUAGGCUUACUGCCUCUGUCACUAAUGCUACCGAGACUGAAAUCACUACCUGAAAGAUCUGGACUGGGAACUCAGGAUCCAACUAAUGAUCUGGAUCUUUGCUUCUUAGAUCGAAACAACUUACUUGCUUUCUGGAUUUUACCAGUUAGCAUUUCCUUCCUUGAAAACUGGAUUGAACCUAGUAGGGCCCGCGCCUCUCUGACUUUUCUUCUUUAAGUAAUGGAAUGGAACUUUGCUCUACUGACUUCCAAUCUGAUAUCCUUGCCUUUAGUCUCUAGUCACCGAUCCCCGGAUCUUUGCGUUACUACAUAUCAGUAUUACUUCACUUUAUCUAAAACUAGCAUCCCUUUCUUUUGGCCUUGCUUUAUAUAUCUUAAUUAGAAGAAACCUAGAAAUACAUAAGUAUGGCCCUAAUACAUAAUUCCAGCGCACCUACAAAUAGGAAUUUCACUAAAAAGUCAGAAAUCCAUUAUUGCUAACAAGAACUUAACUCAGAACUAAUACUUUCACUACUGUUUCCGAGCCUACUAUUCCUGUCUUUCUAUUAUUCUUGCCUUACUUGUUUGAAAACUAAAACAACCGGUUAUCGCUCUUGGGCUACAGGCUUUUCUUCUUACUUUUGAGCUCGGGCCUGUCUCUCCUUCCUAUAAGGUUGUAACUACUGAGUCGGAUCCUUCCCUGGUUGACCACAAUACUCACUAGCAGAUUAAACACACUAGAUCUAUGAUACUUUACACCGAUGUGAAGCUGGAACGAUACUGAUGCGCAUGGGAUAGGACCAAGGCCUGUGUAAGAAGCGGCUACUGCCCAGGAUAGUGAGAAUAAAAGACUAACCGACUAGACAGCAGCUCUUUGAGUCAGAAGAAAAACUCACCCGCUUUUUCAUUCAUUUCCCCAAACAGUCAUUAUUAUCCUAGAGGGAAAGUGAGCAUUGUCCUAGAAUUUACCUAAAGGAAGAUGCUUCCCCCUUGAUUCUGGAAUACGCUUCCAUUUUGUAAACCUUUGUUCAAAAGAAAGGAGCGGUAUAGACGAACUAAAAAGCAAGAAAGGCAGUGGAAGAGUUAGACGGCAGCGUUAUGGUCUGUGUUUGCCCGCAGCUCUAUUCUCUUAUUAGUAUUGAUUUGAUUGUACUGUACUCGUAUGUGUUUGACUACUUUUCUUCUUAGUUACGAGUUUCAGUCCUGUUGACAUUGGUUGGAUUAUGAUAGGCUUAGGUUCCACUCUUAUUUCAGAGUUCCGCUCUUAUAUGCGCUAGAGCGUAUCUCUCCUGCUGAGUUUGGUUCUAUUACUUCUAAGCUAUUACUUAUUACUCUUAUUACUUAUAUGGGUUCAACCCAAUAAUCCAUAUUUGAUGAGGUAAUGCAAGGUACAACUAACUGCGAGUCUGAUAGGUGGGAAAGUCAGUCUGUUACUACUAACUGAGAGAAAGGAGUAGAGGCCUAAAGCCCAGAAGUAAGGUUUAGAGAAAGAGGUGUCAGUUUGUAAGUAAAGAGUAGCAGGCUAUGAGUGGGCAGUGAUAGUCUUCUUACUUAAUGGAUUGGAUUAGCUCACUAGUACCGAAGCCUUGUUUGCUGUUUGGGCAAUGUUGGAUUCUAUUGGUUUUAUACGCUAUAUCAUCGUGUGCACCUCUAUUCUUAUUGUUAUGAGUUCUAUUCUUAGUGCAAUUCCUCUAUUGGUUGCUCCAUUCCUUUUUUCAGGGAAAUAGCACAGGGGAUAAAGCAUAUGGGUACGGGAAUCCAGGCUAAGACUUUGUAUGGCUACCUUCAAGCUGUAUCUCUGCUUGCACUCUUCGACUGCUACACACCAAUGCGAAUCAAAACUAAUACUUCCAGGAAUGAGACCUGUGCCCUAACCACUGCAACUUCAAAGAGAGAAUCGAACCCGGCAGUACACGCCCUAUUAUAUGCCCCCGAAGCCUAAAGCCUUAUUACCUAUGUCCAUUUCCGAGCAAUGGAUAAGAGAAGGAGUUAAUUGAACCUAUGGAGCACCGGGUCCAGGUAUAGAACAUAGUAAAUACCCACCAUCCGUUCCCGAGUUCAAUCAGUUCUCUUUAUUCACAAGUCCUGUCUUCGUAGAUGUUUUCAGCGGGAAGGAACGGAAAGUUCACUCGAGAAUAAUAAUCCGCUGGCUAGAUAAGAUGCUUGAUAAAGAGUAGGAGCAGUCAAAAGAUAAGAAACAGAAGAUGGAGCGUACUUGAGUCUAGCGUGAGGGCUGCCUAGCAGAGUUAUUAUUCGGAAAGAUAGAUGUGAAUCAGGAAUUAGGUUCCACUUCUCUUAUUAGUUGUGCGGGAAAUUCCAUUGGGUAGCAAUGCUGUCCGUAUAGUAAGUCUCACUUGGGACCUAACUCAGCCUUGUGUUUCAUGCGCUCCCCUACUAUACAAUAUUGCUCCUCUAAAGGUAUAAAGUAAGGUCUCGCUAACCUUGACCGAGUGGGAAGAAUAGGAAAGCAGCUAGCUGGGUAUGCUCCUGCAGUCGGAAACAGGGUUAGGUUAAGGUGAAAGGAAGGCUAAAGUCCGGGGUGUUGGAAUCAAAGCAAGGGUUGGUAUAGUGUUAUAGCUAGGAGAGAUAUACUGAGAGAAAGUAGAGGCAGAGUCAACCUAUCAAUACAUAAUGAAGUGCUGCAGUGUCAGUUUCAAAGCUUGUAAGGGCAGGCUUCUGGGCAACCGUAGGGAUUUCAAUAACAAGUAAAGGCCUUUAGAGCGGGGAGUCUUAUCUUCGUUUCAGUGCUAAAGAAUGCCGGGUAGUAGUAAAGGGAGUCUGAUCUUCGUUUCAGUGCUAAAGAACGCCAGGUAGUUGUAAAAGAAUAAGAACAAGUAAAGACAGACUUACAGAAGAGAAGGGCAGCUUUAAGGUCAGUAGCUACAUUCUAUUAUUCCCCAGCUCUAUUCUUUCCAGUAGUUAAUUAAGUCUUAUCAGAUAGUAGAAUCAAUUCUCGUUAGUAGAAGUAUCGGUCUUGGUAGCCUCGAUACCAGUAUCAUAGGAAGUACUCGCAUUCCCGUGUUAGAGUUUCAAGUCUCGGAAAGGUACUCGUGUUGGUUUGAAAGCAAAGAGAUAUAGACAUAAAGGAGCAAUACAGAGAGUAUAAGUAAGGAAGGAGAGACUUAGAUGUCAGGGGUUAAGCUGUUCCUAGUCAAUACAAAUAUGAGUUCGUAGUUAGACAGUGUUAUAACCUUUGACCUUAGAGUCGGAUUCCCUGUUCCUGUCUUAAGGUAUUCUAAUACGUAUCCAUAUCCCUUGUUCCAAGUUGAAGUAUUAGCCAUAUCAGAGUAAGCCUGUAUUCCCAUCAUGACUAGAAGGAGGAGUUGGCUCCAGAGUUAGGAGGAGAAGGCGUAUAAGCCAAUAAGGUUAUUAUUGUUAGUUGACUUACAGUUACAAAGUAUCAAUUUCGAAGUGAAGCAUUGUGUUUAUAUUCCUCUUAUAUGGUCGAGUGAGAAAGAAUCGAGUAGCGUUAGAGGAGUUAUUUUCCAAUCAAUUAGCUAUCCAAGUGAAGGUUGGUAACUACACGGAUUGUCCUAUCUUCUUUAACAGGGGGUCGAGGCCCACGUGGGGUUUUUUCGUAUCAAGAAAGAGGGGGCCAAGCAACGACUAGUUUAAUCCCGAGUCGAAUACUAUACAGAAGGUUAAGAUCAUCUCUUUUCCUUUUCAUGCCUACCAGAGCAGGAGUUCAAUUGAUUUCUUGAUUUCUUGAUUUAGAAUAUAUUUCUUGAUUUAUUGAUUUCUGUCUUUCCUUAGUCUUGUUAAGAGCGAUAGGUAACUAACCCAGCUUCUUUAUCGUAGAUCCACCCAGAACUACUACACCUUAUACUAGAUGCGGGGGGGAAACAUAGCGAAACUGCCGCUAGUAAUGAUAAGUGACUUACCGGUGCGGUGUAAUAUGAACUCGAACUGCACUGUGCACUUAUUAUGUUUUAUGGGAAAUGCCCUAGGAAGAGAGAAAACCCGCUUUCAAUUGCUUUUUGCCUAUCAAAUGGGGUAUUCGUUAUCGGAAUAGCGUGUACUCUAAAUUAUUAGUAAGGGUCCUGCUUCUAAGAUACUAAUCAUAAGGGAAGGGUCUUCCACUCCGGAUAUCCCUAGUAAUGAGCUCCUCUUUCUUGCCCACCUCCCCUCUGUAAACUAAUAUUGAUGAAACUUUACCUUGACCUAGAACUAUCACUAGCAUUGGGAAAUUCCCUACUGAAUGAAGUACUUACUUUUGAUGAGCAUUUGGCGUUUUACCGAUCAAAAAAAAAGGCAGUGAGGUGGUUUUAGCUAAUAGAUCGAUCCACUUCUAUGAUGUUUUUUCUAUGCAAUUCAAAACUUCAAUACCAGGAGAUAGUUCAAUACCAGGUUAAUGCCUUUGUAGUAGUGUAUUGUCCCUUGAGUGAAAGGCUUACUAGCGCAUUCAAUGAUUUUAUCGAAGUAGAGAGGUCGGGAAGUAGAGAAUAGUUGCCUGUUGCCUGAGUUAGAUGAGCCCAUAGAUAUAGGAGAAGAAUGAAGUUGGCUCCUGCCCCAAUAAGGAUAGAGUGGACAAAGUAGAGGCCAGGCCAGGUAGCACUUCUCCUGUUCGAGGUAAAGUAUAAAGUGUAGUGGAAAGUCCUGUUUUCGGGAUCAAAAGAUAGGGCAAGAUAUGAAGCAUCAGAAUAAAGGCAAACAGUAGAUGAAAAGUCAGUAGAAAGUAAGCAGUUAGAGCUGUUUCAAGACAAGAGAAGAAGAUCCAUCUUUAAAAGCAGUGCGGGAAGGAACUUCAAGUGUAGCCGAAGCAUAAGCCAUAUCACAGGAUCCGUUCGAGUUUCAUCCUAUAUGUUAUCUUCUAAUAAGAAUGGGAAUUGGAAUGUAGGAUCUCUGCGAAACUUCUCUUAUGGCUAAUGUAGUACUGCUGAAGAAGGCUUAUUUCCAAGUACAGGCAAGAAGUAAGAUGACACUUAUCCAUAUACGAUCUAGUCCAUACGAUCUAGGUGUUGGCGAAAGAAAGGUGGAAUAGACUCGAUGAAGCUGUUUCAACAGAUGAAGCAGCCAGUGGUUCUUUUCUCGUAUAGAUAAGAGAGUAUUUGCUGUACGUAAAUCAGGUUACGGUGAAGCAUCUCUGGACUUUGACUCAGUAGUGUUUGCUGCUUACUUUUUCAGUGUAGUUACUUUAUUCCAUAUAGAGCAAGAGGUUUCAAGUAGGCUUACGUUCAUCUCUGAUAGAAGCUAGAAGCUCCUCGUAAAGUCAACGGGAAAAAGAAAACAGUAAGAUUUGAUAGGGGUGGGUCGGAUGCUCAAACAAAGUCGUUGAAUUGAAUACGAAUUCCAGAGUAAAGCUCCUAACGUGCCUGGUAAUAAGUAUCUUAUAGCCCACUACACUACGCUUGGGAAGAAUAUACUGUGAAGCAGAAGAAGUAAAGCCAUACAGAUCAGAAGCGGUUGCCGAAGCCGAAUCUACUCUUUCAGAAUUGGUUUAAGCUGUAGGAUAAGAAACAGUAUAAAGUGAGUCAUCUACCAGAGAAGCAUCUGAUGCGGGACGGGAAUCGAACUUGUUUCAAAAGUCAGCCGAUUCCUAAAGUGCCCUUCUUGUGUCUAAGCCAUAGAUAGAGGUGAUUGUGUUGAUAAGUGAAUCAGUGUUUUUUAAGUCUACUCGAUAAAAGCAAGAUAAGUUUUCUAAGAAGUCAAGUAUCUCGGUGUUGUUUUGUUGACUCUCAAUCAGAAAGCCUAAAACUAUCAAUCAGGUCAAUCAAGUGUUCCCGCCUAAGAUCCGGAUAGCGAUCUUGACUCACCUGUGCCAACUCUAUUUGCUCUAUCUGCGCCAACUCUAUUUGUUCUAUAAGUAAGAUUUCACUGUUCAAAGAAAGUCACCUAUCUUAUUAAAGAAAUGAAAUAUCUCCUAUAUAAAUGACAUAGCUACUAUCUUAUUAAAGAAAUGAAAUAUAUUAUAAUACAAGCUACUACCGAAAGAAGCGCAAGCAUCUGAACCAACUCGACUGGAACCACAUCCCGCUACACCUGUAUUAGAUUCUUUCUCGCCCGACCCCCCUACACUUAUUUCAAUGAAAACUUAGGAGACUAGACUACCCAAAGAAACUAUACUACCGCUGGAAGAUACCUCGCGGAAGAAGGCUAUUCUCUAAGUAUGUAAGGGAAGGCUUGCACGCCUGUGUCGUAUAAAACCUAUGUUCAACCUACCACUGGAAGAUACCUCGCUUAAGAAGGCGGAUUUCCCAGUAAAGCUGAAGAAGGCAAUAGUCCAAGUAGAAACAAGAAAGCGGAUUGAGAGUCGACAACACCACUGUUUGUUGCUUCAUAUGGGCGGCAUCUGAUCCUAGAACGGAUCUUGAUCCUUAUUUGGCUUCAAAUACGGUUCCCCUUCUCCCGCUUAUGAACUUGUCGCCUUUAUUGGACUUGCUUCUGAACACUAUGGUUCCUUUCCACUUGAUACUUGCAAUAUAGUAGUAAGGGAGCAGCGAUAUACUCCUAUCUUUCUACCUUACACCGGCUAAAGAACCUUGAUACUGCUAUCGCCACAAUUCAGAAGUCUGGGCCAGUGUCAACUAAUACUACUACGCGUGAGAGGAGAAGGUCAACGAGCUUGACAAGCGGGUAAUACAAGAAAGGGCAAAAGCUACGGACUCAAUGGAGCUCCUGUCAGAACAACUUCCGCUGUUGAACAAACACAGAGCAUUGCUUAUUGCCCGGCGAAAGAGAAGUAAGCUAAUGUAUCGUUACUUGAGCUGACUCCUAACUUGUUGUGAACUCAGUCAGAUCUAUCAUAUUACCUAAUUUGAUACUAUACUCUUUUCUUGAAACCUAACUCAUAUUACUCGAAACUUGAAUCUAUCAGCAGGGCACCAUACCUACCCCUUGAAACUCCAAUACCAAUUAGUGCCCCAGAACCUUAGCAGCUUUGGUUUCCGAACCUGACACUAUAAACUCACUUAUUGAAACCUGACACUAUAAACUCACUUAUUGAAUUGAACUGAGUGCACAACACUAGUGGGUUCAGCAGUGAAGUUUAGGCCUAGUAGAAAGUAUGAAAACGAAAUGCACCUUAUGUGAUAUCUAAUUAAGUAACAACGCUCCUUACUCAAAGCUACAAAACGACUAACCCCCUUCCUUCAGCCUUAAAAGGAGUACUGGCAGGAAGAGAGUGUACCUGGGUAAGAUUAACGGCUCAAAUCAUUAGAAGGACAGAACAAGCAACCAUAACUCCGGCACGUUUAAGUAGCUCAGCUCCCAAACACCAUUUCGAACUAAGUGAACUUUAGCGGGGGCGCUUAGGAUAGUUUCAGAUUCUUUUCUUCAUGGUUGACUUCACCUAGUCCCUAACUCCAAUUCUCUGUAUCAUUGCGAUUCCAAGUAUCAAGUAAGGUUGAAAGAGGCAUUUUGUUCUAAAGAGUCCCCCAUACCACUAUAUUACCAUUCUAUGGAGGAAUCUCCCCAUAUUAUAUUCUAAGGAGUAAGGGCGGAAGCCAUGGAGUCAAUUCUCUUCCUUUUGAAAAAGGCAGUGUUUCAAAGUGAGUUUUGAAGCAAAGCAGUGAGUUGUUGUUUAAUCUCUUCUAUCGUAUAUGCACUCCAUGAAUCAAUGAAGAAAUUGAAGUUCUUUUCCUGUCUUUAUCGGCUAACGCUUAUUCUUGUUUAGAGCACAAGAAGCAAGUGGUGGAGUUAACUACAAAAUUCUAUAAUAUGCUCGCUAGAUUCAAAUAGAAUAUGCUCGAUAGAUUCAAAUAGAAUAUGCUCGCUAGAUUCCAUUAGAAUAUGCUCGAUAGAUUCCAUUAAGUGAACAAGCACCGGGCCAAACAACUAGACAAGUAACGACUACUGAAAUUAUGACUUGCUGAAUUCAUAACUAUAGCUCAUCUAACUCUUUGCAACUAAAACUCCAUCUCAUCCCUCUCUGGCUCUUGGAACUCUGGCUCCCUUUAGCCACGAGGAAAGGACACUGUAGCUUGCACUUAUUAACGCUGCUUGGCUGAAUUGAUUGAACUCUGUUAGCGCAACACGUCGAACUCACUUUAGCUCUAUAGUCUGGAGCUGACUAACGCUAUAGUCACUAACGCCAUAGUCAGGAACUCUACCCUUGCUUUAAACAUAAUAAAUGGAGAUUAUUUCCUCAGCGGAAACGGACCCCCCUGAUUGAUUUCCAGCUUCGUCUUCGGCUAAAGAUCCUGUUCCUUACUAUCCACUUGAAGAUUACUUGCGCACUGUUGAUUCUUCUGCAACUGUUUCAAAAUACCGCUCUGCUCCUGAUUCUAUACGAGACUAAAUGGAAACGACUCUAUCGUAGCCAAACACUUGAACAGCAUCUUGGUUUGUUGGCGCAAGUGCAAGAUCAGAAACAGAAUCUAGGACUGGCUUUGAAAGGUAAUAACAACCUUGUAGUGCUCCCGCUUUGGGGUAAUAAUCAAGUUCGGUUUGGUGCUUGGCUUUACGUCGGUAGAGAGAAUUCCGUUAUUGGCUUUCCCUUUGCUUUGCGUGGAUAAUGUCCUUACCUGGAAAGCCCUUGCGCUAACACUUAUUUGAGUUGCGGGAUGCGGGGUGCGAGCGAGUUUCAUCGUAUCAAUUGUGUGCUAGUUUCAUCCUAUAAAGAGGAUCAUCUCUUUGUGAACGAAUACCCAAUACACGCUUAAGCAGUGCGAAGAAAGUCGACGAUAGAAUAAUUAGUAUUAGAGAAAGAUCAUAAGCGGGAUAAGUUCGAAAGGCAGCUACAAGUAGUUCUUUUGUAGAAAGGGGAAGUAAGUAUAAACUGUUUCAAGUAAGUAAGCUAAAGAAUUGCCAGUUCGACUUGCCUUGCAUCCGUUCUUGUUGAAGAAAAGGUCGAGGUCGGCAAAAGAAGUAGCUUGAGUAUCGAGAAUCCGCUGUAGGGCGAGGAAAUGAAAAAGGGGCAGAACUCACAGAAGCUUACUUGAGCGAAGCGGGGUUAGGAUUAGGUUAUCUAAAUCACUGAAGGAAGAGUUUGUUGUGCAAUGAAAGCAGUCAGCAUAAGAGGGAUUAGAUGCUGGUAAGGAAGCAUAAGAAUCAGAGGGCCAAGUAACUGCAACAAGCAACAGAGAAAGAGAGUGAUUGGUUAAGGCAACGGAACAAGCAAGCACAAUAACUCCACGAAACGACUUUGACAUAGAAUUAGGAAUAGAAAAUAGUGCGCGGUGAACUGAACGCGUAGACAAACAAGGAUUGUCCCCCCGCUUACCGAAACAAACAAGCUUUGUAUAUUGUAUAGCUCAAAGUAACGGUGUUUUUUAAAAACAUUAGAUAAUGUGUUUAAACCUCGCGUAAGGCAGUUGUCUGGAGCAAGUACUGUGAGUUUUCGUAUCGGCGUUAUCGAGUUCCACUGGUUGCAUCUUAUUAAUGUACACAGAUUCUGGCAGAGGGUUAGUCAUCAAUCAAUAGGGAGCUUGCUUACUCAAUCAUUGAUUCUACGAGUCUCUUAUAGCAUCUACUAAAUUCUACGAGUCUCUUAUAAGCAUCUACUCAAUAAGGCAUAGAUUCUCAUAUUCUAUGAGUCUCUUAUAUCCCUAUUGAAAACUAUCUUAUUACUGUACUGUCUGUACCACCAAUCUUAUUACUGUACUGUUUGUACCACAUUAUGUCACUUAUUAACUCUAGUAACUCACUUCUAUAUGUUAGCUUGUUCUGUGCCGAUUGUAACUCACUUCUAUAUGUAAGCUUGUUCUGUGCCGAUAUUAGAUUGCAAAUGUGUUUGUGGCUUCUGAAGAAAGUGGAGUUUUCGGAUAGCCCACGUAGCCGUGCUUGUGUUGUCAUAGAGUUCCAUUCUUGGCUUUACCCUUGUUGUCCUAUCGUAUAAGGAGGAAGAAUGCUUAGCCCACUUCACUAGAAAUGCUGUUAAGUCGAGGGGCACAGUCUCAAAAGAAGGAAACGAGAAAUGCGGUUAAGGCGAAGGUCAAAAAAAGGGAUACUCUAUAAAUGAAGUUCUGUUAAGGCGAAGGGAACUGUAUCAAAGGAGAAAUCAGAAUAACAAAAAAAAACCAAGUAUACGAUGCUUAAGAAAAAAGAAGAAAGAAUAUGAAAAACCCAGUAUACAUACGAGGCUUAAGAAAAUAGGAAAAAGAAACAGUGAGCUCCCGACGAAGAAACCGUAGAAAGAUCAUUAGCUGAAGAUAGAUCCGUGUUGGCGCCGAGAGAAUCCGCAGUCUAAGCUGAAAGGAGGGCGCUUGUCAGGUCAGAGCGAGCAGAGGUCAGAUUCAUAAGAGAGAUAUUCCAAUUAAGAACUUCUAAAGUCGACGAGAAUGGACUUUGCCUUAUAGUUGGUUUGUGCUUCUUCAGCGCAGGUUUAGUCUCCAGUAAGUAUACUUUCGAUUUCGAAAGGAAGUAAGGGUGCCGACAUCAAUCAAAUAUUCAAACAGUGAGAUUUAGAAGCAAAGCAGUAAGUAAGUAAGGAAAGAGUAAGGAGUGAGUGAAAAAGUAUACUAUUUUCGUCUAGGAAAGUUGUACUUAGAAGCAGUUCGAAAGCCAAGUGAAGGUCGAGGAAGAAGAAAUUCCAUGCUUUGAAGCGCGUUCGGUUAUUAUUGAGCCCAGUAUCUGCCCUUCAACAAGUAAAGUAGUAGAGUAGUCCAAAGGUUGACUUCACCCGUAAGCUCUAAGUAUUAUAUAAAGUAGAAAGUAUAAGGUAUCAAUCAAGCUAGAAUAGAAGCCCUAUUGCUUGCUCAUUUGCCGUUGCUAGCGUGACUGCAUUUUCUAUUCCUUUGGAACUUGGCUUGCUCCUGUAGCUCUACACUCUAAGUAGUAAAGUGGAGUUCUUGUGCUUAGAAAGUCAGAUGUUUCUGUUUGCCCAGUUCUACUUAUAUCGGUAUUAAGAAGAAGACUCCGGAGCUGGAGUGAGAAAUGCAUUCUUGGUUGACUUUACGGAAGACUGCCCAGGCCCACAACAAGACUCAGUUGAGUUGGUAAGCAGCUUUCUUACAUUCCUUAAUGAUAGGCGGGUGGGAUAGAUUCAAUUACAUACUUUUCAGCAAGGGAAUCCAGAUAGGAAGCCAGGGAAUAAAGAUCUUCAUCUUCUUUAUAGGAAUAGGAGUCAACUCUCACAGUCAAUUCCGCUGCUGCGGAUUCUCUUUCCACUUAUAUUGAUUAUUCCUAGACACUAACUCGUAUACCCUGAACAUAAAGUAAGCCUUAUUGCCCUGAUUUUAUAGCCCAACUCUCAAUAAAGAAGAGCUGUAAACCCAUCUUGUUUGUCAGAAAUAAGAAAAUAGGGCUCGGCUCCUCUUGCCCCAGCAAUGAAGUUCCUUCCGUUUCCAUUCACUGGGAGAAAUAGAAAGAAAGGAUCGAAUUCCUUUUAAGAGUGGAUGAAGUAUGGAACAUCAAUCCAACCUGCAACUAAGUAUUCCAUAGCCCUAUAAGCAGAAGAGGGCUCCAGGCCCCCAACCAUUUACAAAAGUGAAAGAGCCUUACAAAUUCAGUCUGGCUUCAAUAAAACCAUAUAUGAACGAUUAAUAAUUGAACGAGGUAGCCCAGUUUGCCAAUCCAGUUUCCCUAAGGCAUAUGAAGUAAAGACUAUACUAGAAAGCUACAGCAAGGGCCCGAAGUCUCGGUUACCAGAAACCCGUCCCCAUCAAACCCGUAUUGCCCCCACCACUAAACAACCUUUAAGGGGCUUGGCUUAUUCCAUCCAAUCAGUCAAGUUCCAGUAUUGUUCUGCUAGAUUGAAGAAACCUUUUCCUUUAUGUCUUUGCUCAUUGAGUCUCAUUUAGUCAUUUUGGAGAUAGAUAAAGCAGAAAGCUGCGCCCAAAGGUGACCAACUGACAAGGGCGUUGAUAGGUGACUGAUUGAACCAACGGAGCUGUACUUUUCAUUAUGCACUUUUUAGGGCGUGAGCGGCAUUGUCAUUCGCUUUAGUCUGAGGAAGAAGUGCGAUGUAUUUGAUAUAGGAUCUUCUAAUCCGCCCUGACUCUUUGACGGAGUAGGGGGGAAAGGAAAGCAACGAGUAAUUGUAUUUCAUCUAACUAAGAAAAAACCCUCCAAAUGAUGUCUAUAGGCUGACCCGAUUAGUCCUCAAAUGUUCCUCCUUAAGUCGACCUAUGCUUGAAAUACUUACCCUGACCCAGCCACAACGCUCUAGCUUCGGACGAUCCUUCUGAAUAUCUCUAGUCAAAACUCACCAUUCUUGUCUCUAGUCAAAACCACUCACGAAGCUCUUUUAAGUAUAGAGUCCGGAAGGUUUGGGAAAACUGGUUCCAAAUGAAUAGGAAGACUCUGACAUCAGUGGUUAUUGCUUAAUGUUACCAGGCAAGGAACUAGACAAGCAGACAAGCUUACUUAGAGUCUACCCGAGUCUACCCGAGUCUACCGAGUCUACCCGAGUCCACACGAGUCCACCGAGUCUAAGUAAUAUAGGAAUCCUUCUUUUGGGCUCCUGCUAACGCAAAGUAAUCAUUUCACGACUAUACCUCUAUUUCGAAUUACCCUUUACCGAUCUAAACAGUCUUCAUCUUCUGAAUGAAUUGCAUCUUUAGAUUCGGCUUUUCUUGGGGGGAACUCAACGGAGUAUAUAGUCACAGUAAUAACCGCCAAGUAACUACAACAAAAACAGAGAGCCAAGCAGACGAGCAACUACAACAAAAGCAUAGAGCCAAGCUUAGUAUAAUAAAGGCGCAACUACGUUAUCUUACCCCAUCUCUCUACGAUCUCGCAACAAAGAAUGAAUUGAAACAAUCCCUUCCCUAAGCACCGAGUAAAGUCAAACAGGAAAACAUUAAUGGAAAUAUGUAAGUCACUGAUUCUAUAUAAAAGGGGAAUACACCUAGAAACUCCCUUACCGUCAACAACAUCAGGAUCCGGGGGUUCACAGGUAAGAAGAAAUUCCAUGCUUUGAAGCUAAUACUGUUCGCUAGUUUGUAGUAGCAAAACAAGCGACUACUAAAGGGAAUAGUUCGGUGUCCUACAGGGAAGAGUGCGGUCGGUGCCCUAUAAAUAGAACAGGAAAAGAGUUUCCUCAGUAACAAUUCCAUUCCAUUUAUUCUUAAGAGAGUUUAUUCAGCGCCAAUUCUAUUCUUUCUUGGAUGCGAGGUUCCCUAAAACAUACUUUUUGCCCAAUGAUUCAUUUAGAAAGAUUCUCUUACGUAGCUCCGGAACUAAUUCUGCAUCUAGAUCCAGGCCACGGCAACUGAGCUAGGGGUGGGUAUCGUGCAACAACAAGAAGGGUGCGCAGGGGAACUAAUUCAGAAAAGUCACAUAGAUAGCUCACAUUAUUUAGUUUAAGUAAAAGCAUUCAGUCUUCGAUAGCAUCGCACAGUCUAUGAACUACUAUGAACUCAGUCAUCGUACAUCCUUAGCUUCGGGGGACAGUAAAGGGUGGACAGAAAACUCAUUCUUUGUAUAUGGUAGGGUAACUCCGUCUUUGAAAUAAGUCUUUGAAACCAAAAAGCAAAGCACGGUAGGGUGGCUAAAGCACGGUAGCAUUAAUUCUUCAAGUGAUCCCCAGCUCAUUAUCUUUUCUAUUCAAUAAGUAACACAGCUCAUUAUCUUUUCGAUUCUAUAAGUAACACAGCUCAUUCUAUUUUAUUGACACAUCAGAUUGACUAUCCAACCAAGUCUUCCCUGUGGCUCGUUCAGCUCACCCACGACCCUAUGUUGAUUAAUCUCUUUAAGCCAAGCCCCUUUUCCAAAUAAAACCAUCUUCACAAUCAUCGAUUGCUCCCUCAUCCAUGGUAACUGCUAGCACCUCUAACCAAGACCACUAUUUCCUACUACUCUAACCAAGACCACUAUUUCCUACUAUAAUAAACCUCACGGAUCCCACUCAAUCUUUUACACCGAUGUUUCGUACUCUCUGGACCAGGUCAUCAUAAGAGGAGAAUACUGCGAAAUCUUUCCUAAGUAAGUAAAGUAAGUAAGUAAGAGAAGGAGGGAAGGCGCACGCUACAACAAACAGCCUGCUGAAAAAAGACAAGAAAAAAGCAACGAAACGAAUAAUAAUAGCUUUGUUAGGAGUGAAACGCGUUAGCACUUACUCUCCCCCGCUUGCUGCUUUCUUUUCUUAUCGCUGUGUUUCAAAAAUGAGAUGACAGGUAACCUUAGGCAAGAGUCGUGACCAUGCUGGUUUUGUUAGGCUUGUUGUACAUUGUCAGAAAAGAGAGUUGGUUUAGGUACAUCGUUGAUUAGUAAACCUUAGGUGCUCUGGUAAGGUCUGGACCGUGGUCGUGCGUCUCAGGUUUGCCGGCCGAUAAGAUCACUUCAAUUGACCAGCCAGCUGUGUUGGUUUGGCUAUUACUUGCUAUUUCAAAGUAGUCAGCUGUCUGCGCGAGUCACCUUCCUUCUUCUAGGCUCCGAGUCACCUUCUUCUAAGCUCCGCUGGACGACACGGCAUUCUCGUUCUAUAGGCCGGCCGUACUUGUGAUGGUUCCCCAGGAUCCAAUAAACUUAGGUCUACGUUGCCACGAUAUUGUUCUAUGGAAGCGGGCGGGCAGCUCUUUGGAUAAGUUCGGCCCGGUAUUGCAUUCUUGAUUAAUAACAUGGGCAUUGAUCUUUCUCACGCAUAUUCUGUCGUACCGGCAUGGCCCCAAGGAUUUGUUUUCGAUCGGAGCAUCAAGCAGCGCAACCCGGUUCUACUUGACUAAGCCCAGUGCUCUUCCAAGGAGGGAGUUUGCUUGACCCAACUCCCCAAUUUGGAACAAGGCAUAAACCUCUUACCCUAAAUUCAUGAGUUUAGAAUGAAGAGUUCCCCCAUUCUUUUGGAAUCCCGAAAUCUGGGAUUUGGAAGUUGGUAAAGACCCACCCCUUGUUGAAGUCAGAAUGAGUCCCCUGGACAUUGGCUUCCACCAACAGUGAACUACUAAGGAUCGCAUCCCGCGCAUAUUCUACAUUAUAGCCUGCAACUGAUUCAGCUUCCGCUUCUGGGAGAUCAAACGGAGCUCGAUUCGUUUCUGCUAGACGAGGAAUAAGGAACAUAACCAAUACGGGGAACAAGGGAAUACCAGACCAUAUCUGCUUUUGCGCCAUGACAAUCUCACUCGAAUUACAGGGACCUACACAUAUUAGUACAGUAUACCGGGGUCCCCGGCCAGAACCACACGUGCAAGUUUCCCUGCAUGUGGCUCGUUCGUUCUUUUUUAUCCGAAGCAAAGCCUGUUACUCUGCAUGGGAGAAGAGUGCGGAACUGCUUUCGUGUUCAAGAGCAUGGAAUUGUCUUAGUUAGUAGAUAGAUUAGAACUCCAUAAUAUGCGCACCGAGAACGAGAAUAGAUAGAGAUGUUAGCUAGCAGGGGCCUUUGGUAGUCCCGGUCUCUGGCCGGCCUCUGACAGUCCAUCCCGUCUAAUCAUUCUUUGGCUAUAUUAGUUGCAAGUAAUGUUAGCUCUACAUUAAACUAUUUGUCGAUUGUUGACUAAACCGGAACUCAUCAGUAACCCCCGAUUUCCUAUUCUGCUUUGCUUGACGCCUACAUUAAGAGAAUAGGUCCCUAGGCCUUCCUUUAAUCAUCUAUACUAGACUCUCCCAAUAGGAACGAACUAUUUAUGCGCCCUAAGAAGCGGAACGCGCCAUCACCUACUGCCCUUUCCUCUGCCGGGGACUUCUAGAAAAGAAAACGGGCGGCAUGGUCGUAUGUUCGACAUGAGUUGCCCUGGUGUAUAUCCCGGAGUACUCCUAUGGCCGAUCUGUCACCCAGCAAACUACAGCAUCUUGGAAAAACGUCUUUCUUAGCCGAAUAGUUUAGGUAAUGAAAUACUAAGCAUCAAAGAAAUACAGCAAGGCGAAACGAAACUACUGCAUCAAAGAAGAACAUAAGCUAUGAAAAGCCCCCCUAUAUACCUAGAAUUGUUAAGAUGCUUGGCCCCGUCCCGUGUGGCUCCUUACGGCACGUUAGUGAUUAUCGCUUAGUGGCGUUGACAUAAUGAGAAAGCCGCGACUUAUCGCAUGGUUCUUGCCUCCCUCCUUGGAGCUCGUCUAUUCCUUGCUUGGGUGAUCCCUUGCUCUCACGUUCGAGUGUUUGCUCAUCGUUUAGGCCGGUUAGUUCCAUUUCUGCUCAUUGCAGUUGCCUCCGGGGUUCUUCGCACCUGGGUAGUACCAGGACCCUUGUGCCCCAGCUAACUUAUCCAAAGAGCUGCCUAUGUAUGACCCAAAACGAAAAGAAGCCUUGCGACGAGACGCGGACAUUCCUCAUGCUGCGGUUCCCUCCGGUCCGUUCCCGGGUUGGGUUAGGGGAAGAUCCGAGCGCUUCGCGGAUCCAAACGUGCUCACAAGGCGCAUAAUAAGAAUCAGACCAAUAGAGACUUCAUAAGGGACCAUUUGAGCUGCAGAUCGUAAUGCUCCUAGAAAGGCAUAUUUCGAAUAUAGAGGAAGUUCCCAACAAUGCCACAAAGAAAAGAGAAUGAGAAAACUAUGAACCGUACGAGCACGUCCUCUCUCACCCCACCGCGCUUACGGCUCUAUACCCCAACUAGCUCUGGCCCCGGGUCCUCCCGCAUCUCUUCCUAGGUAAGUAGACCGUGGAAGCUGGGGUGUAUCCGCUUGCGACAGAUAGAAAGCUGCAAGCAUAUCCAUGGUUGAUACCUAAAGCCUAUAUAAAAGAAGCUCUGCCUAACAAAUAAGUUGAUACCUAAAGCCUAUAUAAAAGAAGCUCUGCCUAACAAAUCCAAAUAGUGGACGCGUCAGAGACAUCUUUAUCAGAAGAGGAGGCUUCGUCCUCCGGCUACUCAUAAAUGAUUAUAGGAUCGGCCGGCUCAUCCUCGGAAUCCAACAAAGAUGGAAGAGAAAGAGAAAUAACAUAUUAGGUGAAAUUACAUAGCGAAUCAGACAGAAUAGGAUGUAGAAGAAAGAAGAAUCAAGAGAAAGAAGGUAAUGGAAUGGGCUAGGAAGAGAAAGAAGGUAUUGGAAUGGGCUAGGAAGCUACCGUUUAACGAAAAGCAAUGCUACAAGCAAGGUAGCGACUCUCUGUCUAGCGUGUGGGGGGGGCAUUGGAAAGACUAGACCAUACUCAUUAGUACAAUAGGCAUUCGGGAAGCGCCUAGUCGUUUAUUUCUGACGAAGCUUAACGAAGGCCGACUACUUACUACAUAGAGACAACUACCAGUCAUGAGCGAUAGUGAAGCCUAGAGAGUAGGAAACAGUCGCUUGACGGACGCGAUAGGCGGGCGAAGUGAGCGAUACCAAGCCGAGCCACUAGUUUAUUGGGUGCCUACAUUACAUAUAUGGAAGAAGUCAUAGGUUAAACACAUCGAACGAAACAAAACGGAAAGUGAACUAUUGAACAGUGUGAUUGAUAAGAACAGUACUAGCUCAUCACUCGCCUAGCAACUGUAGUAGUAGCUUGGCCGGGGAUCUUCUUUCAUUGAAUAAUUCGCUUGCGAGAAGUCCUAGCAUUAGUAUGAGUUCGUUGACCGCGUAAGGGCGAUCCAUCUUGAUGACGAAUUCCACGAUAACGAGAAAUAGAAAUUAAUCGUUUGAUGUCUGCUCGUUCUCCCCUCUUCAAUUCCCAAUUCACAACAUGAUCUUGACUUAUCAUUUGUUCCAUUUGGUCGAUCUGAUACUUAGUUAACUCCUGAAUCUUGAUGUUCCCACUGAUACCUAAUCGAUAACGAAACUUCAUGGCUUUUUGAGGUCCAAUUCCAUCCAUUUUGGUUGAGGCUAUUCUGACUUGUUCAUCGGGAACUGAUAUAGCUCCAUUAUUAUCUGACAUUAUUAAUCCUUAUACCUUUUCCUGGUCUUCUCGGCUGGAAUCUACAAGGGGUCUCCAUCCCUCCACUCACGAACAAAGCUAGCCAUUUCUCUUGACUAGAGAAAGAUCAUAGCAGAGAUUACCCAUACCCGAAAGAGCAUAGCAGAGAUUACCCAUACAUACCCUAUAAGUAAGAGACUAUAUUAUUACCCAUACAUACCCUAUAAGUAAGAGACUAUAUGCGCUUUCAAGUACUCCAACAUAGAGAGAGCUAUUUCUUUGAUUCUUCUAUUGAUCUCAGAAAAGAUUGGAAAGUGUCCCUAUACUUAUGUAUAGGCGAGAAGGAGCCCAGCCCGCCUUUCUCUUACUAUAUCUGUGAAAAGAGAAUAGGUAGUUUCAGAAAGAAUCAUUUCAAUCAAAUUGAUAGUCAGAGGAAUAUUCGAAAAUCCUGAGGGGAAGAACGUAGAUUCAUUCCAUUCUCUCACACACUAUCGCUAUUCUCCUCUCCAUUCUCUCACUCACUAUCGCUAUUCUCCUAUAAGAAAGACACUGUUGCAGCAAUCGGUUGAAGCAUUAGUUCCCGGUUAGUGGGUGCUGGGGACAGACUUGACGUAACAACUCCAUGGGGGCCGCCAUGCCUUUAGAUCGAUACACUGUUUAGGAGGCCAGGCCGAUCACGAACGCUACUGGUGUGGGCUGCUAUCAGAGAUGAUUCAAGAAAGCCAACAAGAAUAGGGCCAAGCUAACCUUAGCAACUACUACCCCGCCUAGCCUAGGUAAGAUGCGGCAAGGUAACACUUCCCGGUGCUCUUUCCUCUUUAUUACUUCCUAUACACUAGGGUAGGGGAGAAGCGUGUUUUAAACAGCUAUUGGCCAAGCGACUACUAACGUUGAGAUAAAGAUAAGAAGCGGGGGGUUAAGGUGAAAUAAGCUAUAGAAGGAAAGCACUGACUUGACUCGGCAUAAGAAAGAUUAUGUGGCGCCAGGAAAAGUUGUGGAAUUCUUUGUCCAGUGUACUAGAGUUAUUACUGAGUCCUGUGAAUAGGCUUUGAUGCGCUAAGACUAAGGCUUACUCUUGUUGUUGCAAGUGGGAAAGUCAAAGAAGUACGGGCAUAAAUCGAAUCAGAGGCUUGAGCUAGCCUAAUAUGAGAAUGGAAAGUGGAUCUAUUGCAGAAGAAUCAUUCUUGUUACCCGCAUAGGAAAGUACUCAACUAGAUUCUUGUACCCCGCCUAGGUAUUAUAGAAAGAAAUAACCAAGGAAAAGAGGUAGGUUAGGAGUUUCGCCCAAGGUUGUCUUAGAGAAUCUCAAAGAGUGCGUGCGAGUGUAGUUCCGGCGGAGUAAUACGCUCGAACACAAGACAUAGGCUUUCUCUUUAUAUAGGAUGAGAGUACUUCACUACGGAUGGAAGGAACCUAUUUUGACCUGAUCCAUCCUCGGCUUAACCCUAUUAUUUCUCUAUUGGGGCACUAAGGAACAAAGAAAGUCGUUUGACUCAUUAUGUUAGGUAGUACCCUUCACUUCACUGCCUAUUCCUAACCUGGCCAGCUCGCUCACUAACGCAGUAAACAGGACUUUCACUUGUGCCAAGUUAACCAUGAAAUUCAUCUAUCGAGCGGUCAACUCUACCACUUAUUGCUCGAACUGCGGAUUCCGUCUAAUAACUCAUAGGCGCAUCCCUCACUCCACUACUUUGAGCUACAGCGGGACUAGACACACUAUAAACUAGGUGGGCGAAAGGGGAGCGAAAUUCUUCUUUCUAUGCGCUCUAUUCCGUCGCUUUUGAUUCCUUCUCCUUCUCUGUUUUUAGUUGCACUAGGGUUGGAUACCAAUAUCUAUCAGUUGGUUACCCAUAUAUAUCUAUGAGACCCCUCCCCUCUCUCUCUUGCUCUAGUUUUGUGUUCUACUAGAUGCGCUAGCAAGUUCUGUAUUCUGGCCCUAUUCUAAUACCCUAUUUCUUGUCUUAUACUUAUACUUACUAUUCUAUUACUUACUAUUACUAUUCUUAUUCUUAUACUAUCUUGUCUUAUUCUUAUUCUUAUACUAUCUUGUCUUAUGGCUCCUCAAUACUCCAUCGAAUAAACUUCCAGUUAUCCUCUUUCUUGCUCCGAUUACCUAUAAGAAUUCUAUAUCUAAUAUUCAACGAGAUCCAUUUCUCUUUCUGGGGCUUCUGAUCGAACUGUGGAACUGGCAAUUCUCCAAGUGACAAUAGGGGUGGAAGGAUUACUCGACGUGUUACCGACCCCGAACAAGACUUAGAGCGUAAGCACCAACACUCCCCACUUAUUGUUAUUGUCCCGCCUUCUAAUGACCAUAAUAGCCUAAUUGAUCUUUCUGUUCGAGUGUUAUCGAGUGAGCAGACUCCUAAAGAAGGAAGAGAGUUGAGUGCAAAAGAAGAGAGCCGAAUUGCUUUCAGAAUUGAGGAAGCAAAGAAAUUGGAAUUCCACGUACAAAAGCAUAGAGUUUGACAAUGAUAUGAGUUUGUUUUAAAGGACAGUUACCAAGUAGAGUAUCAAUUCUAUUACAUUAGCAAUUAGCAUAGUUAUAGGUCUUUAGACGCAAGACAGUUACAAAGUAUCAAUUAAGUGACAUUAGCUACGUUGAACAGAGACAUAUAGCUUAAUAGAAAUCGGAGUUAGCGAGUGAUAGUAUAGAAACGAAUAAAGAUGGUUAUGAUUCUGUUGUUUCUUAUAAUAAACAGUAGAACAAGCAGGGCGAGGAAGCAAUAAGUAAAGAAGUAAAGGAUCGGAUCGGGAGUUGGCGCUGAGAGAUGAGGUCUUGCAGUUCUAUUCCAUCAUAAGAGUCAGAGGUUUUAUACAAGAAACCAUUCUGUAUCUGUUCGAAAGGAAAGGUUCGAGUGCUGGUGUCAGUGGCGUAGGAGAGUGGCUUAGGACAGUAAUAAGCAGUUCCUGGUUUCGGUAGUGAUUGUGUCGUAGGUGCUAUAGCUCCGAGUUCUACUUGUUUGCGCUAACGGAAAGGGAGGGUAAAGGAGUUGUUGACAGUACGGUGUCAGUUCCAUUUCUUUAUGCUUGCUUCUGCGAGAGAUAAUAGUCAAAUUCCAAUUCUCAUCUUUUUCUACUCUCCUUGUUAUCUGAGAUCCAAUCUUAUAUGCCUCGCAAUAGAGUCAAAUUAUGAAGUGGAAAGUCAAGCUAUUAAAGAAAAGGUGGAAGUAACAAGUGAGUAAGCUGCUAUGUAUGAAAGUAGAGGUCGAGGAAGAAUAAUAAAGGGAUAUGGAAGCUAUGUAUUUAUAGAAUUCUAUACAACCACAACCCAACCACCUUGGGAAUCUGAAUCUUAUCUUUAUCACGGUCAUCUUGCCCCUAGAAAGGCUGUUCCUGUUCCACGGUAGCCUGCCUAUGAACAUUGACCCGUUACUAAUACAAAUAUAGCAGAAGAAUCCGCGGAAGUAGAUGAAAAGUCUUGAUCCGUUUUCAAGAGAAAACCAGUUAUAGUUCCAGGAUCAUCAGCUAUGGGCUAACGGGAAGAAGGAUCUGCAGUUGGGGAGAAGAAGAAAGAGAAUCUUCAACUGAAUAAAGAUCAUUGGUGAAACAAAAGUAAGGGUAUCAAGUAAGGGUAUCUCGGAACAGGCGCAAGAGAGAGAAAUGAUUGUUUUCCUUAAGACUCCACUUUUACUGAAGAUCACAACAGUUUUGACCUUAUUGACCUUGAUUGUAGUGCUCUUGGCUAGGCUCCUUAUUGUUUCGGGAGUUAUGCAACGGCGCGCCUGUAUAAAGUCUUCUGCUACUUAAACGUGUUGUUACU
rnacentral:lncRNA from 1 species